UUGCUUUAAGACUUAAACUUCAAAACAUAGUUUGGAUGAAAAAAAAAGGGUAUUACAUAACGGCUGUUCAAAUUUCCUAUUAUAAAGGAAUACAAGAGAUGCUAAAAUAGAACAACUACAUUGGGAAGAAGUGAAUACUAAUAUGGAAGUUGUCAGUUUGGCAUCUGUUGUGUCUGCCUGAGUAAAACAGGACAAAAAAAUUAAAACUUGGAUUUAAUGGAGAUUUUACCUUGUAUGUCGCAUCUGUUCGCCUAUAGGUAUACAAUCAAAAUAGAUAUGAACAAGCAUCACUGCUUUUAAAGGACAUCAUAUAAACCGUGUGCACAUUUAUCUGGACAUUUACUGGGACUUUGGAGCACACACCAUGUUACUGAGGCUGUGACUGAUCUUGCAUCAAGAAAAAUAUAAAAAAGCAGUAUUAAAAAGAAGAUUGCUGACAAGCGCUACAUUUCUACAACCGUGCAGGAUGCUGCAAUGGAUCAUGGGAAAUGCAGUUUAACAUCUGCAAAAAUCAAUACCAAUUUUGUCCAAAGGGGUCACCAGAAUCAACUCAUCACAAAAGCUCUGCACAUUGCCUUUAAGUCAUCAUCUCAGUGUUAGAUCUAAAAAUGUUGUUGUUCACAUGCUGCUAUUAAUACCUGAAUGAAGGGGGUGAAAGGGGGCGUUGUCAGGGAGAUGAUGGGUAAUAUAAAACCCUUGUUGGAUAUGCCUGACAUCCCUUUAUUCUUCAGUGACAUUGUAUGUCAACCGGAGUGUAUCUGUGCGUUUCUCAAGGGAAACAAAUUGUAGGUUUAAGCUGCCAUAGGCCGAUUGUAAUCAUGUAUGCACUGUACUUUAGAGUACAUGCUUUAAAUUACAUAGCACUGCAUUCAUCUUCGUACAUGAAUACCUGCAUAAGGCAGUACAAUGAGACCUCUUUGACCCUGAGACACGUCGCGGUGUGAACAGUGUCAAUACAUUUAGACAGCUUUGACACAGACCAUUAAGCACUGGUGUAGCCGACAGCCGGCACUGUUAACAUCUCGAUAAAAUCAUCUGUUUGAACAAACACAGUAUUUGCUCGGGACUUGACUGACAGGCGUGUAGAGAUGCUGUAUGAUAAUGCUAUGGGUAUCAAUCCCAUUCAUACUUUGUCAGUUAAUGACCCCUUUCAGAUGCUGCUGAGUUAUUGCGCUUACAUGAUGUAGCAUUGAUAGGCAUGUUUGAGCAUGACAAGAGGGGCUUAGUGUUUGACUGUGAUGUUGCCCCGCAGUGACAGCACUGAGAUGUGGUGUUAUUAAUGAUAAUAAUAGAGACUUGUAAAGCCAGUGCGAGGGCUCCUACACCAACCUGCCUGUACUUGAGCUUAAAUGACGACGGGCCAAUAUCAAAGAGGAAGUAAUGGAAAUACCAUUACUUCAGUUUCCAUUGUUUUGCCCCCUUUUUUCAUGCUGCCUCAUGCGACUUUGAUCCCAUUUAUCCGGAUAUCCAUUUGAGAUUGAACUGUAGCAUAUUAAGUGAAUGAUGCUGAGAUGGAGCUGGCAGGGUUUGUCAUAACCCAUUGGAAUUCAUGUCUCCCCCUCCUCUCCCUCUCUUCCUCUCCUUUGAUCCCGUCUAGGUUAGGCCUGUGAAAUGUACUUGGGUAAUAACUCCAUUGCGUUGAUUAUUAGCCUUUACAAUAGAGGCAAGCCUCCUCUGUUUGAGCACAGUCACAUAGUGGAGGGCUGCAGUAACUUAAUGUGGCAUGAAAAUGGCUCCUCAAUUUUCCUACGCACUGCCUUGCUAGAAACUGCCCUGUUCCACCCUGGAGAUGCCUCCGGCCUUCACUGUUUCACUCCCCCUCUUCCUGAUUUCUCUCUCACAGCAUCUCUGCCCAUUGAGCCAUCACACACCUAGGACAAAGUUGUGUGUAUGUGCGUACACAUGUUUGCGCGCGCAGGUGCGUGUCAGCAGAGAUUCAGGCAGGAUGUGAAAGGGAAGGAAGAGGAGGCACAAAGUGAGAUGUAAGGGGAAAAAGGAGGCGGCGCAGAGGCAGUGGGGAGCAGGUGGAGGGUCUGUGAUUUAUACUCGGAGGAUUUGAGCGUGAAAUCAAUUUGUGUUUAAGGAGAAGUGAGGCUCCACGUAGCCACUGUGUGCCACAGAUAGACCUUGAGAAAUUAAUGCUCUCAUCUGAAAGGGAAGGAAAGGGAAGGGUGGAGCCUGAAGGAGAAGGAAGGUGAAAAGAAGGGAAGAUGGAAAGGCAGGAAAGAAGGGUAGAAGAGAUGAAAUGGGAAAGGUCAUGGAGACUUUUAAAUAAAUGGGAAAGUUUCAGACGUAAUGGAGUGGUGUACAGUAUGAGUGUGAAAGGCAAUAGCAGUCCAAGGUCUUAAACUGUGUCAUGGGCAAACUGUAAAACAUUAAGUAGGUUUUAGAUUUUUAAAAAAUGAAUAAUAUUCGAAAAAUGCCUCACAUAAAACCUUGUGUCAGUAAAAGCUCUGAAAAUGUGUAUUUCUUGUAAACCAAGAGGAGUCUCUACAACAGCUGGAAGCUGGAAGUAGGGCCCAGUUCAGGGACUUAGGUGCUCACACAUUCAAACUUUGACCAUCUUUGCAUUUUCACAUACCCAAUGCACCAUCUGUUUAUUGCAAGUUCAAAUACAUUUGCUACUCACUAAGUGAAAGUUUAUUUAUUUUCCUGUAUUACACAUGCUAAACCCCUUAAACCCACAAUAAUAAGGUUUACAUGCCACAUAAGUGCUGCAGAAACAAGCUGUGAACACAACAACGACUGUACAUGAUGGACAGAACUACAUCCAUCCCAUGUGAAGCUAAAACUUUUAGAGCUCCCCCUGCUGACUGGCAUCAGUAUAGGGAUAAAAACACUCCAUGGAAACUAGAAAAUUAAAAUGCCCAAUCGAAGAAAACGUCACUGAUGUGAGCGCUUGUAUUGACAGGAUACGGGUUCGAAUAAAAUAUUGACGUCCAAAACAAUCGCACGACAAAAACUGUCCCGGUGUGAAAGGACCUUAAGAAUAAGAAGAACUUUAUUAAUCCCCACAGGGAAAUUCAGUUGUCUGUUGUCUCACAUAAUAUGUCUCUAAAAGUUAUCUACUAUUUACACAAGAGUUAUAAAGCCUGAUGGUUGUUGGUACAAAAGAUCUUCUAAAUCUUUCUGUCCUGCAGUGAAGAGAGAGGAGCCGUCCACCACCAUUGGCCCUUUGGUCCAUCAAGGUGUUGUGAAGUGGGUGAUCCAUGUUCUUGAGAAUAGUCUCCACCUUCCUCAGUGUAGAUCUCUCCACCACAUACGCCACUGAGUCCUACCACAGAGCCAGCCUUUUUCACCAGUUUGUUAAGAUGUCUUGCGUCUUUGUGUUUGAUACUUCCUCCCCAGCAGACUGCAGCGUGGAACAGAACACUGUAGACACCACAGACUGAUAAAACAUCUGCAGAUGUCUAUUGAUCGGAGUCUUCUCAGGCAAAAGAGGCGGCUCUGCUCCCUACUGUAGAUGAAGUCUAUAUUCUUAGACCAGUCCAACUUAUUAUCCAGAUGUACACCAAGGUAUUUAUAUGAUGUCACCACUUCGAUGUCCACUCCACAGGUGUUCACUGGCUGAAGAGUGGGUUUGGAUCUACAGAAGUCUAUGACCAUCUCCUUUGUCUUUGAGGUGUUGAAGUGCGUUGAAGUGCUCACUUUUUGUAGAAAUUUAUAAGAUUUUUGUAGGACUUUAUCAGAUUUAACGAAACAUAAUCAUGCUUAUUUGCAGAUAAAGAAGUAUUCGAAGUGUUCCUGCCUGGUGAUCUUUAUCGCCUCUCAAGGAAAGCUAAAUCCCCCAUCAUGAUCAUUAGCUGACUAAAUGUUUGCUUACAAAGUCAUUUAGAGCGUUAACUCUGAAAACUGUUGUCUUCUUUGAUGGAGAACAAUCUGAAAUAGUCCUGAAAAUGUCCCCAAACUAAAACAGUGGAUCCUGGGAAACCAAACAGUGUGAUAAAAAUGCCAAUUAAAACCAGACACAGUCGGGAGGAUAUGCUGAGAUCUGUAAAAAACUGUGGGUAAAUUCACAACCACGCUGCUUUGAGUUCUUUGAUCUGUUGUUAUGAAAUAUUUAUCAUGUGUGCUUUGACCGAAGCGGUUUGAUAUGCAAUAUGUGCGCACAAAAAUUGUGGUUUUCAUAAAAGGUAUUAUAAUUUGACUAAACAUGUGUGAAAGUGUGAAAACUUGCCAUCCAGCCGCCUUUAAAGUUAGAAAAAUCACUGCAUGUUUUAGGUUUAAGGUUUUUGCAGUAGUUUGUCAGCAUCGUAGGCAACCGGCAUUUUUAUAAAUAUCCCAGAUUUAGUAUUAGCUCCAUUUACUUGUCAGUUCUUUUUCACAGGAGUGUUAUCUUGGUUAAUUUACACCUGCAAAAAGUGACAGAUGUGUCAAUUUAAUUCUUACCAACAGUUAUUUCGAAAGGCUGAACAGUGCUGAUUAAAAGAGCUGAAGAUGGACACAGACUAUAAGAAGUGAUGGAAAAUCUUUGUUAAAAGCUCAGCAGGAGUUAUAACUCUAUCCUGAACACAACAGCACUGUAAAAAUACAGCAGGCAGAAAGAUGAGACACUAUUACGUUCAUUAACCGUUCACCAAAUCUGCAUCACCAAUGCCUGAUGAGGUGGUAUACCUCGUCUUUGGAAUCCACAGGAACUGAAAAGCCUGAAGAAGUUUGUUUGAAUUUCGUUUUUUCUGUGUUUGAUGUUGAAAAUAUUUGUUGAAAUGUUUUCAAGGGGAUAAAAUAUUUGAUUCUUACUGCAGGAAAGCUGCCCUCUCUGUUAGUUUUUGACUUCUCUGAGUGCUUUGGUGAAACUGUGGAUGUGUUUCCUGCCUGAACCUGACCUCGGCCUCCUUUCAGAGGAGAAAGGGAGCAAACUGGACCCUGAGCGACAUGAGUUUCAACACACACACAAAAAAAUAUUGGUUAUGUUAUUCAGUCAGUUGGCCAAUUACUUUUGGAACAUGAAAUCAAGUCCAAAUUGGUGGACUGAUCAAAACACAAAAUAUUACCAUUUCAAGAACUAGCUUGGCUAAUAAUUAGACUACGUUAAAACCUGACUUCCAUCGCCUGAAAAAGUUUAAACCUGCAGCUAUUCCUGGAUUACUUCAAUCUGUCCACAGAAAGUCACAAAAAGUUUUUCUUCCUCAUUACGACUGCAGUCUCUGUAUUCAAUCCAGUGUGCAGAAAAACAGCGCAGGCAGGCGAUGUUUGAUCACGCAGAACAGGAUUCAUCAAUAACACCCGGACCAUUCAGAGACGAGUGAGUGUUUUCACUCAGACUUCAUGGUGUGUCCAUCAAAAGCUGAGUUGUCUCAGGUGGAUGCAGACUGGCCGGAAAGCUGCCCUCACAGUAAGUUUUGACUUUACUGAGCGCUGUCAGGCAGCUACGGAUGUGUUUCCUACCUGAGCCUGACCUCAGACUCCUUUUAGAGGAGAAAUAGAGCAAAGGGAGUAAACCUAUGGUGACCGAAAAAGCAUCUCAUUAUUGGUAAUCAAUCUGCCUCCUCUCUCUUUCCUGUUUUCACUUUUCACUUCAGUUCCCCUGGGCUAUGAUUGACAUGGACACAUGGGUCGUAAGUUCAAGUGUACGCUCAUAUGGAUGGUUCUUUCCCACAUGCACACACACACACACACACACACAACAUAAGGUGCCCUGUCAGGUAUUGAAUAGUAAAUGCUGCAGAGCAGAAGCCGUAGUUAUUCAUGUGUGAUGGUGCUGCUGCAGAGGACCCAGCUGGCUCCAAAGAGCUACGUCAGUGUGUGUGAGUGUGUAUGUGUGUGUGAGAGAGGGUGAAAGGGAGAAAUGAGGAACAUGUAUGUGUCAGAGGCAUGAUUGCAUGUGUGUAAGAGGCAGAGUGUGUGUGUAUGCGUGUGUGUGUGUUCACCUGUCAGUUUGAGAAAAUUCACUCACCUGUGACGUCCUCAUUCUGUCUCUCUGUAAGCCGUCACUGAGAGUGCUCCUCUCAAAGGCCCUGGCUACACACACACACACACACACACACACACAAACACACACAUGCAUACUCAGUCAUAUCAGCCAUAGGCAGGUGUUGAGAUCACUGACUUCUGAAGAGGAUUUCACCUCUGGCGGUUUGAAUGUGUGCCAUGUAUUUUCACCCUGAGUAAUGAAUGCUCUGCCUCUCUCUCUCUCUCUCUCUCUCUCUCUCUCAGUCCUUCAUGUGUGGAAAAAAAAACAAAGAACAGAGAGAAGUGUGAAGAUAGAGUGACAGAAGGAGGAAAAAUGUGCAGGGCGUGGAGCUCUGUAUUUGUCUUUUUCUUCGGAGUCAUGCAGUUUCUAUUAGUGACUCUUCAUUUUUUUUUUUCUGGGACGAUGCGGGCCAGGCUUUGCUGGAGUGACAGUGACGAUGAAUCCUGCAGGACACAACUCCCACAUAUACAGCUGGGGACACUUCUGUCAUGUAGUACAGCUGCAUUCUUCCAUCUAGUGGCCACAUAUGCAAACACUCACUCUUAUUCAUGUAUGCAUGCAGCAAAACUGGUGAAUACAAACAUGCAGAAUACUUGUUUUCUUUGAGUAAUUAGCUUUGCCAACUUGAUGGCUCGGACAAGUGAUUUAUUUUAGGGCAAUCUUUCACAUCAUGUCACCAACUUUAAAAAAAAAGAUAUUAACAUGUAGUUUGGAGCACAGCCUCGCCUGCAGUAACCUAUUGACAACCCAGGAUGUGCUUAAAGGAACAUUGAGGAAAUGAACACCAUCAGCAUAAAGAGUUUAAAUGAGACUAUCUAAACAGCUUUUCAAAGUCGAAUAAAAGCUUAUUAUUUCAAAGUGAUGUUUUCAGCUUGAUUUCCACCGAGGAUGAGAGCCCCAAAAACAUGUCACAGAGGAAAGCCAGUGUCACCUAAAGGUGGUAAACUUUGAAUUUGCAUGCAUUUAUAAGGUAUGGAGGGUCUAACAAGCUAAGCUAAUGCCUUCAGUAAGUCGAAGCCUGCAGGUGGACGCUGGGGUGGUGGUUGGACUGAAAGUUUAAUCCCAGCACUUGAAUGAGAGAGGUUAUCAAGACACUCUGAAAAACAGCUGUGCAUUUAGAAGUGGAUGUAACACUGGAGGAUCAGACCACCUCUACUAACAAGUAAGUAAAGCUACAAAACAAUAUAAAAUGCAGUUUUAAAUUCUAACAUUUACCAGUUUACUUGGCUGUAUCAUGUUAAAUUCUGCUUUUUUUUCUUCUAUUGUAUAAUAUGUAACAUAAAAUGUGUUUUUCGAUGUAGUUUGGUGUAACAAAGAGUCUUAGAGACAAUCCAGGUCCAUAGAGACCUGCGCAGCACUGCCAAGAUGAGAAUAAGGCUUGCCGCUGGGGUUUAAUGUCAAUAUAAAUUUAGUAGUUAUAGGAACUGUGAUGGUGUUAUUCUCUGCAGCCCUCCCUUUGUGCCAGGAACACACCCCUCGGCUACUGUUGUCAGUAUGAAUGAUCUUAAUCAACUUGUCUUGUUAAAUAAGAAGGAACAAAGUCCCAACAUUUAAUUAACAGCAUCCUGACCUGCGAGUGAACUCCUGGCCUUUUGAUUGGCUGUCCCUCUGGGACAAUGAUGCCCUAGCAACACAUUCUCAUACUUAGAGUGUAAAUCUGAAGGUGGACUAACUCUCCUC